AAGGCUUUAGCUUAAUUAAAGUGUCUGUUUUGCAUACAGGUGAUGUGGGUUAGUGUCCUGCAAGUCUUA
rnacentral:tRNA from 2 species